rnacentral:lncRNA from 1 species
GGUAAUUCAACAAUAAAAUCCAUGGACAGGUUAGACCAAGGUCUCUCGGGAACGGGUAACGGAUGCAACAGCCCACAAGGAACUCUACGGGAGGAUUUCAUACAGGCACAAGUAGUACAAGCACUUAUAUAGUCAGUGACAUCCUUUCGUAAGGAAUUCCACCAAAAAUACCGAGAAACAGCUGACACCGUUUUGGAAAUACCAGGAUGUCCAGCAGUCUUAGUAUCAUGAUAUAAUGACAUAAUAUCCCGUCUCUCAGGAACAUCAACGAACAGUUU